rnacentral:tRNA from 1 species
UAGAUUGAAGCCAGUUGUAUAGGGUUUUUAGCCGUUAACUAAAGUUUUGUGGGAUAAAUGCCCGCCAAUCUAG